GCCGUGGUAGCUCAGUGGUAGAGCGUGCUAGUUGGCAGGCGGCAAGCGCGGGUUCGAGCCCACCACGGGACA